rnacentral:lncRNA from 1 species
GCUAGGUUGCCUUCCCAUGUAGGUGUGCUAGUUGCCUUCUGCUGAUGUGGAACCACUUAAAAUUAACCAUGUGGACUUAUUAACUAUUUUAUGCAUUAAGUUUUGUUUUCCAUAUUUAAGCUUAUAAUUUUUGUUAUUUGCAUAAUCUCCCCACUUUCAAUUAAUAAUUAAUAGUAUCUCAUAUUUUCAAAUAAAACUAAAUCUUUGUAAAAAAAAAAUUAAAUCUAUUUAUCUUUGAAAGAAAAACGAAAAUCUCUUCAAUAAUAUGCAAUUAGGAUUCUUCUUCUGCAAUUAGGGUUCUUGUUCUUCAAUGAAUCCCAAAAAUGCAUCUACUAGAUCUCAUCUCAGUUCAAUCAAAUACACCAAUACAUCUACACUGUUUCUCAACUCCCCACGCGAAUUUCCCAAACCCAAAUCCUUCCCGUUCAUCAGGAAUCCUAAUCGAAGAAGAUAUCUUCGUCUUCCCGGUCAUCGACGACGACAUUUACCAUCACCAUCGUUUUUCUCUUCACAAUCACCCCU